UCCUGUCUGCCUCUCGCGCACGUCUCCUCUCCACCUCCGUCUGCUGCCAUCUAUCUGUCAUUGAAGAUCUCUAUUGGCAACCUCCUCCGUCUGCUGCUAUCACCCAGCCCUCUCCCUGGCCCUAAUCGGCGCACGUCUCCUCUCCACUUCUCCUUCAGAGUAUGCGCACAUGUGGAGGCCAUCGAUUUAUCCGUCAUGGACGAUCUCAAUGGCCGCUUCGUCUGCCUGCUGCCGUCACCCUGCCCUAAUCCGUCCUCUUACCUCCGUCGUUGGUGCCGCAGGUUAGCACGGCCGCCUUUGCCUUCUUUCUCCAUCAUCUCCCUCGCCGAUCCUGUUCUAAGCAGCCUCCUGCUUCUGUGAUUGAUGUCGUCCUUCUCCAGUCACGAGUCUCCGCAGGUUAUAUGUCUCCUCCUCAGAUUUCCCUUCCAUUGCAAAAGAUAGGAACGCCUUUCCCAUACCUUCAGUAGUGGCUUCAAUUCAAGUCGCAAAAGUUUCUAUAGAACAGUUCAGUUGUCAAAGUUCCAUUAGCCCGCAAAACAUUCUCUCAGAUCUGGAGCCUACUCAAGAAUGACGACUCCACCGUUGUGUGCUCACCUUCUUGGCUGCCACUUCUCAUCAACUUAAUCUUCUGUCACAGACUCACUUAGUCAGGGAGUUCCACACGCCAUAGUUCCUCCCUCUCUCCUAUCUGAUUUGGACUCCCUCACAGAUACCACAAUCGCUCUCCGAUGUGCACAUAUUAGCCAUGGUUUACCCAUCGUUUAUACCACUUAAUACUUGCAUACGAAGUUAGCACACCUGCAUUGCCAUGGGUAGCCAGCCAAUGCUUACACCAGUCCAUCCUAUAAGGUACGCAAGGAUCAAUAAUGUAGUAGGUUUCCAUUUUGUGGGUUUUUUAUGUUAUUCAUCCUGUAGUUUCAGACAUGGUCUGUAAUGAGCAUAUACAGUCUAGGUUUUCGUUUUGAGGGGAUCUUGAUCACGUGCAUUCAUUAGUUUCAGACCUGUCAUAGAUACUUCGAUGGGUAAGAUUUGUAGGUGUUAUACAGUUUAGUUUGGGGAUUCAGUUCGCUAAAGAUGUGGAUAUAUAAAUUUUGGAGCAUUACUUGGUUUGUUAAAUCUACCACUCUACAUUUUUUACAAGCUAAAUAUAUCGUUUUGUUAACUUGGAUCUGUUCUUUCAAUUUUAUGCCCAUGCAGUGAUCCAGUAAAGAUAUGUGCAUCUGAGAAGCAUAAAUUAUGCUCUAUUCUAAUGAAAUUUCUUUCGACAGUGCUCUUUGCAAACUUGGAGUGUAUAUGAAUUCUGAAGGUCAAGAAGGCAGCACCUUAGCAAUAUUUAUUCAAAGCAACACGGAAGAUCGAAAAAUGAUGGGUAAGUUAAUCUCUUGGCAGUUCUUCCUCAUAAAUUUUUCUACUUUGUUAUUUUAAAGUCGCCCAUUUUCUGAAUUGGUGUACUAAUAAAGAACAGGUAAGAGUUCGUUUUCGUACAUUUACGUAUUCUGUUGUGUAUAUAGUGCUCUGACUUGCUUAGUAAGAUCUGCUUUGUACUUAAGGUCUAAUUGGUAACACCAAGCAACUUGCAAGAAAUUUAUAUCUACUGACUGAUUCCAUGAUAUUAAACCGUAUGCUGUUGUCGUUGAUAUAUAGGGUAUACAUACAUGUACAGACUUUACUAGACACAUAUUGUCAGAUAAAGUUCAGUCUCUUUUUCUUUGUUUAAGCAAAAUAUAUGGCCUUAUAUGCAUCUAUUUCCAUUCUGAUGUAACUGAAAGGAUCAUGUUGUAUGAUCUAAUACGUAUUAGAUAAAUGGAAGGAGUAGGGUAUGCCCUAAUUAACUCUGACAUCAUAUUCGAUAACCAGUGUCUUUCUUUUACAUGGACGGGAUACUUAUGAAGAGAAUCUUGGUAUGUAUUCUUUGGAUGCUCUCAAGUUUAUGCAUGUCAUAGUUGUUUCGUUUGCACGACACAUUUAAUUAAAUUUAAAUUUUAUCAAAUGAUCAAAUGCUUAGUUGGGAAGUCAUUAAUUUGUAAUUCUGGUCAUCUUUUAAGUAGAGGCAUACUUGGCUGAAUUUGGUGCAAUAGUUCAUUAUUCAUGGCAGCUCUUAUUUCUUUUCUAUUUUCAUGUGAGCUCAAUUAAUUAAUGGGCAGACAAAUAAGAUGUUUCUCUAUAUAGAUGGUGCUACUUAGUAUGAAAUGAUAUGUUUUGGUUCUACACACACAUGCUAGAUUAUGCAGCACUUUAAGAAUUGACUGAAGUUAUUUGUUAGUAGUACACAAAAUGAUCUGUAUUUUUGGAAUGACCACAUGAGCCUCUUUUUAUUGACAAGGUUGGCAUAAUGUCCAGGUCCACUUCUGCAACAAUGCCAAAAUAACCUAUUAUUCUUUCUUUAUAAAUAUUUAUUGAUGCAAACAGAUUGUUCCGCCCUAUUUAUAUGAGAUGAUGGAUGAAUAUAUUUCCAAAAUUUUCAAACUCACACUAAACUCUUUCAAUUGGUCUACAAUUUCCUGUAUUCUAAAUAAAUAGUGCAUCCGGGCAUUAUUGUAAGCUGAACAAAGUAUUGGCCUCCACCACAUGUACAGAUUUCCCGAAUGGAAAGGGUCUACGAACAUAUUGUGUGAAUGUGUCAAUGCUAUUACGUAAACGUAUCAAUAUCACACUUAUCAUGUUGAACGGUUACUUUCAAUAAUCUUACAACUAUUUUAAUAUAUUAUUUAUUGUAUGCAUAAAAUAUAUCUUAAAUGAUGCAUGUGUUUCCUCUUUCUGACAAUAAGCGAGUGUAUUUGGCUGUUUGCAUUAUUUGUUCCUAUUAUUUUGAUCUCUAACCCUUAGUUUCUGCAAAUCUUUAUAUCGUAGUGCCUCGCUGUCUUGGGUUGAUUUGCCAAUCAAGUGCUAUUUUUUAUUUUAGUUGUGGAAUAUCACCAUGAUGGUGCAAUGAGAGUUUGUUCCCUAUUCACUGCAAUAUCGGAGGAAUGGCAGGACUGCUAGAGAACUAUAACGUGUGUUGAUUUGACAUAGAUAAUCCAUAACUUGGUGUGUCGUGUGCACAUCCAUCAUCGGGUAUGUAUAAUAGUAAUCCAUCUCAUCAUGAGAUGUUAGUGUUGACAAAAUCAAGGCGAAAGAUACAAAAGGAAGAUUUAUGGGUGCAUCAUUACUACAUAAUCUUGCUGCA